rnacentral:lncRNA from 1 species
GCCAGGCGAGUGCGCUACUGCUUGAGCCACAUCCCCAGCCCUGAUUGUUUGUAUUCUUGAUGGCUGGUAUUCUGAAUGAAGUGAGAUGAACUUUCAGUGUAGUUUUGAUAUAUGUUUCCCUGAUUGCUAAAGAUGUUGAACUUUUUUUUUUAUAGAUUUCUUGGCCAUUCGUAUUUCUUCUUUCAAGAAGUAUUGUUCAGCUCACUUUUCCAUUUAUUAAUAGGGUUGUGGUUUUUUUGGUGUUAAGCUUUUUUGACUUCUCUUUAUAUUUUGGAUAUUGAUCCUCUGUCAGAACCACAGGUAAAAUAUUACUAAGUAGACAUACACCUCCCUCCAAGAAGGAAGCAGUCAGGCAAUUGUGGGGUAAGUUGAGAAUGUUAAGUGUUGAUCAUUGAGACCUGAAGGUCAUAUUUUAAAGUUUUCUACUUAAUUCCUCAAGUUAGUAGCAUUCUUGUAAUAUAGGGGAAACUAAAAUUCGAGAAGCAGAUAUAAUCAACAGUGACAAGACUGUGUGCAAUUAUUGCGCAAAAUUUGUAACUGACGUGGUCUGUGCUCUCCAGGAACUUGCUCGAACAGUAGGUCUGGAGACAAGAGUUGAACUGCCCACCCGUGGUAGGAUUAACAUAUCAUUUCCAGCCCUUUGUUAUUGAAUAUGAAUCAGGGACCUGUUAUGUGCUAGGCAUGUUCUUGUCACCAGGGGGAUACAGGAUUGCAUGAUGCAAAAAAAAUUUUCCCCUUGAGGAGCUUAAAUUCUCCAUAGAGAAGAGAAAAGUGGGGUGGGUAAGAGAGAGACCUGGUGGAGGGAACGAAAGAGUGAGUGAAUCUAAACAACAGUGAAUCAGGGUUAGGGAAUGUAAAGCAUGAUGCUGGUAAAGAGAAGCAUGUAAGAGCGUGGCCAGAAAAGGCUUCCCAGGGAGGUGGGCACUGGAGCUUGGCACCUGAAGUGGGUGAGAGUGGGCCAUGCAGGUGUCUGUGGAGAAGCAUGUUCUAGAGAGAGCAGCAUGAGCACAAGUGUGUCCAUAUCCUCCAGGAGCUGCUAGAAGGUGAUGGGACAGGAGUGGGAUGAGCAAGGGAGAAGGCAGCAUGGGGCCAGUCAUGUACCUCAUGUGCUGUUGGCACGACUGUUACUGUAAAUGAGAAGGAGUGCAAUUGGAGAGUUUCAAGCAAAGGAGUGGCGUUAUCUGACUUUGUCUCUCCAAGACCAGACUGGCUUUUCACUUUGAAAACAGUGUACAGUAAGGUAAGGGAAGAACCAGCUGGAAGGCUCUUUCAGUAUUCCAGAUGGAGAUAUGAGGGAAGUGCGAAUGGCAGAGU